AUGCACGCUGGCGGCGUGCCUAAUACAUGCAAGUCGAGCGAACGGACGAGAAGCUUGCUUUUCUGAUGUUAGCGGCGGACGGGUGAGUAACACGUGGAUAACCUACCUAUAAGACUGGGAUAACUUCGGGAAACCGGAGCUAAUACCGGAUAAUAUUUUGAACCGCAUGGUUCAAAAGUGAAAGACGGUCUUGCUGUCACUUAUAGAUGGAUCCGCGCUGCAUUAGCUAGUUGGUAAGGUAACGGCUUACCAAGGCAACGAUGCAUAGCCGACCUGAGAGGGUGAUCGGCCACACUGGAACUGAGACACGGUCCAGACUCCUGCGGGAGGCAGCAGUAGGGAAUCUUCCGCAAUGGGCGAAAGCCUGACGGAGCAACGCCGCGUGAGUGAUGAAGGUCUUCGGAUCGUAAAACUCUGUUAUUAGGGAAGAACAUAUGUGUAAGUAACUGUGCACAUCUUGACGGUACCUAAUCAGAAAGCCACGGCUAACUACGUG
rnacentral:rRNA from 1 species